GAGCCAUCCUAACUGGGGCCCUGGCUCCCUGUUUUCCUUCGGUCGCCGUGGGUGUGCCGGACGCCUCUGGCAGGACUAACCCUGUGGCUUUUAUGUCCAACGUGCUGUGCUGUGUGUGCCUGCAGCAUCCUGUCCAAGACAAAGCUACCUUUCUUUCCUCGUGGGAAUGGACUGGCCGGGCUUUGGCAAUCUGGCCCCUCGAAAGUCUUAAGUGACCUCUUCCAGCAGGGGAAGACUGAAGCAAGGGGUGCCAGAAAGAACUGGAGUUUCUGGAGAAUAAAAGCUGGAAGCGUGCCCCCGAAAAUCCCCCCGGGUGGUCAGUGGUCUGACUUGCACGGACCGGUGGCCUUGGCCAGGAGCGGUCCUGCGGGAAGUGCCUUUGCCCAGCCUGUAAUUUUAAUUUCCAUUGGUUGCUUGGCAAAGCCCCUUAGUGCCUGGCAGGAGCAGAGCGGGCUUCCAGGGAGGUAUUCAGCUGGUCAGCGUCAGGAACCAUCCUAACUGAGGCCUCGGUGAGUGACGAAGCUUAUGGAAAAAAAGACCAAAGGCCUCGAGGCUCCCUGUUUUCCUUCGGUCGCCGUGGGUGUGCCGGCCGCCUCUGGCAGGACUAACCCUGUGGCUUUUAUGUCCAACGUGCUGUGCUGUGUGUGCCUGCAGGUCAUGUUUAUCUGCCUGUCAGGACUGUUGGAGCACUGGAUGGAGAGCAGGUCAUAUGAGGAGGAUUACGGAGUAAAAGGCAGCUUGUACUGAAGUGCAGGGAAAGUAUAAAUAUUUAUAUAUAUUGGCACAGCGCCUGGCCUUAAUGCUUAAAAUCCUUUGGAGAGCUGUCUGCAUAUUUACUGUAUUAAUGAUCAAAUGCAAGGCUGUGUUGGGAAAGGUCUUCCAUUUGGAAGUCAGUAGUUGAGACUGUCUUGCCUAUGAAAAAGAGGGAGAAUUUUCGUUAGAGGGUGUAGGAUUCUGGCUGGUAAUAGUCUUAAUUCAAGGUAUUUUUAGAGAAUUGAUUUAAUACAAGCAGAACAAAUGGCCAGAAGUGUAAUGAGAGACAAGUUGAAAUUAGAAAGUAGAUGUGCAUUUUGAAUGUAUUGUCAUAGCAACUGAUUAAAUUCUCCCUCUCUUGCUGUUCUGGGGACCUUUUAAAUGUGCUUUGGCUAAAUAAAAAGUAUUAGACUAUUUCAGAGCCAAAAGGUCAGUUCUUGUUGUCUCUUUUGCACUUUAAUUCUAGUACACUGAUACUUGCUAACCACGUAUAACCCUAGAUGCAGAAUGAGAACUUGGGUUAUUAACAAUAAACAAGUAAACAGCAGAAAGACUUGACCUUUCUUUUGAAUUGCCCUACAGUGUUACAAAAUACCAAACAAACCUCCUUCCCCAAAGAAACGCCCCCCAAAAUGCCCCAACAACUCACCAAACACAAAAUCACCGACAACCAAAAAGCAGAAGUAACAAACAUGAACAGCAAGUGGAGGAAGAGUUUGAAAGCGGGCUGGACAGAAGCAGAAGUGUUACUGCCCACUCUUAGGCCACUGUGCUGAUUAAAUGGGUGUUGUUAGGUUUAGAUUAGUAGUUCGUUGUUGUUGGGUUUUUCGGUGGUGUUGAUUUUUUUUGUUGUCGUUGUGGGGGAUUGUUUGUUUGUUUGUUUUUAUUUUGGUUUUUUUUCUGUAUUAAAAAUCUGGCUCAGUUACUCUCUAGUUCUGGUGUGUUCUCUUUUCCAGGUGGUUGGUGUUUCUGCAGUGUUUGGCACAGGACUGGGGGAGAUUUUUACCCAGCUUUCUAAAGCUGUAGAUGAGUAGGAGAGACUGAAUGCACUCCCUUUAUUCACCUUUUCAGAGAGUAUCGGCCAGAAUACGAGCGCCUGAGAAAAACACUGAAUCCACAUGUAAAUCUUUGUCUACGGGAGAAAGCUCAAAAUAAACAAAAGAGAGAGCAGCUGGAACACUUGUGGAAGGACAUGGGCAGCGUGUGUGUGCAGGGCAGCACACUGGCAGGUACCUCCCCAGGAAGAUAAAGUUUACUGCAGAAGUUUUCUGAAGAGUUUGCCUUGUGAAGUAGUACAGUGCUUCUUUGUCCUCACAGCAGAAAUGUGAAAGCAGCUCCAUGUUAGAGGAGCAGGGCUUUAGUUCCUGUGGGAUUGGUCACACUCAGCUCGUCCUGUGUCAGUCACAGGUUUGGAAGAAACCCCGCUGUGUAGCUAAAGCAGUGGACCUACUAGAAAUAAUGAAAUACUUUAGAAAAGGCGAAACAGUCAGAUCAGAAUAUGAGAAAGCUCUGCUGUUGGCUGCACUGUUCCUUAGAUGAGGCGAGUAGGUGCUGAUGGAGUCUGUCCUGUGUCUGGGAUCCACAAGCAGCUUUCUGUCCCCUUAGAGCAGGUGUUCAUUGCUGGGUUUCUGUGCAGACAGAAGUUGUCAGUGCACACGCUCCCUUACCUUUAGCAAGCUGGUUUGUGUACAGCCGUUUCUGUUCCCUUCAAGGACCUGAUGCUUCUGCAAUGGGUCCCUCUGAGCUAAUACUAACAUGAGGAACUCUCGAUGAAGAGCAAGAAGAGAGGGAGAGUGACGCUGAUGGCAUUGACCACGAAGGUAAGGGAAUGAGGUCUAAAAGCUGCCUCUCAAGAAAUCCCCUCUAUAUUUCAUGUCCUGGAUGGACUGUAAGGAGAGCCUAGAAAACAAGCAAACAUUCAGUCACCUGACGUGUCAGAAUCUGUAGCAGAAGCUCAGCUGCAAUGGUCAGUGCAGGGAUAUCACUCUGUAACCUUUGUGAAAGUUCAAUUGUAAAUUUUCUAUUCAAGUAAUUAAUAGGUGUAUAACACACAUAAACCAGAGAACUCGUUAGGCUUGGGGCAUGCAGUGACCUCUGAACCUGAUUGAUGCACAGAUGUGUCCAUCAUCUUUUUGGCCUUACAGUUUCUGCCCCUGGCUCUCUUCCCUUUUCCUGUGACUGUGGUCUUGGAGCAAUCUUCUAAGUUGUUACAGUGUGAUUUUUCUCUUCUAUAGCUCACAGACUUAAUCUUCAUUCUUUCCCUGUUCCACUGAUGGGUAGGAUCACUUAUUUCCUUUGCCCUGUAAUGUAGCUGAAGAUGGAAUAGACUUUCUAUGUUGCUUUGGCUA